UACGAAGGGGGCGAGCGUUGUUCGGAUUUACUGGGCGUAAAGGGCGCGCAGGCGGUUCUGUUUGUCGAGUGUGAAAGCCCCGGGCUCAACCUGGGAAUGGCAUUGGGACUGCAAGGCUUGAGUGCGGCAGAGGAGACUGGAAUUCCUGGUGUAGCAGUGAAAUGCGUAGAUAUCAGGAGGAAUACCGAUGGCGAAGGCAGGUCUCUGGGCUGACACUGACGCUCAUGCACGAAAGCGUGGGGAGCAAACAGGG
rnacentral:rRNA from 1 species